rnacentral:sRNA from 12 species
GAAGUGCGAACCAAGCGUGCGCCCCGGCGCUGUAAGACUUGGAGCGGACGAGCGCAAGCACGUCCUACA